UACAGAGGUGGCAAGCGUUGUUCGGAAUUACUGGGCGUAAAGGGCGCGUAGGCGGCCUCGCAAGUCCCGUGUGAAAUCCCUCGGCUCAACUGAGGAAUGGCACGGGAAACUGCGGGGCUUGAGUUCGGGAGAGGGAAGCGGAAUUCCUGGUGUAGCGGUGAAAUGCGCAGAUAUCAGGAGGAACACCGAUGGCGAAGGCAGGUCUCUGGGCAUUAACUGACGCUGAGGAGCGAAAGCAUGGGGAGCGAACAGG
rnacentral:rRNA from 1 species